GACAGAGGGUGCAAACGUUGCUCGGAAUCACUGGGCGUAAAGGGCGUGUAGGCGGGCAGGAAAGUCAGAUGUGAAAUCCCUGGGCUCAACCCAGGAACUGCAUUUGAAACUCCCUGCCUUGAGUGCUGGAGAGGAAAGCGGAAUUCCUGGUGUAGAGGUGAAAUUCGUAGAUAUCAGGAGGAACACCGGUGGCGAAGGCGGCUUUCUGGACAGUAACUGACGCUGAGACGCGAAAGCGUGGGGAGCAAACAGG
rnacentral:rRNA from 1 species